CCUACGGGUGGCUGCAGUGGGGAAUAUUGGACAAUGGGGGCAACCCGGAUCCAGCCAGGCCGCGGGUGUGAAGAAGGCCCUCGGGUUGUAAAGAACUUUCAGUGAGGAAGAACGCCUGGUGGUUAAUACCCAUCAGGAAAGACAUCACUCCCAGAAGAAGCACCGGCUAACUCCGUGCCAGCAGCCGCGGUAAUACGGAGGGUGCGAGCGUUAAUCGGAAUUACUGGGCGUAAAGCGCGCGUAGGUGGCUUGAUAAGCCGGUUGUGAAAGCCCCGGGCUCAACCUGGGAACGGCAUCCGGAACUGUCAAGCUAGAGUGCAGGAGAGGAAGGUAGAAUUCCCGGUGUAGCGGUGAAAUGCGUAGAGAUCGGGAGGAAUACCCGUGGCGAAGGCGGCCUUCUGGACUGACACUGACACUGAGGUGCGAAAGCGUGGGUAGCAAACAGGAUUAGAUACCCUUGUAGUC
rnacentral:rRNA from 1 species